UCACCUCGUGGUAGGUCAUGCCCUUUU
rnacentral:sRNA from 1 species